ACACCGGCAGCCCGAGUGGUGGCCACUAUUAUUGGGCCUAAAGCGUCCGUAGCCGGUCCGGUAAGUCCCUGUGGAAAUCCUCAGGCUCAACCUGCGGAAAUGCGGGGAUACUGCCGGACUCGGGGCCGGGAGACGCGGAGGGUACUCCAGGGGUAGCGGUGAAAUGCUGUAAUCCCUGGGGGACCACCAGUGGCGAAGGCGCUCCGCGAGAACGGGCCCGACGGUGAGGGACGAAAGCCAGGGGAGCGAACGGGAUUAGAAACCCCAGUAGUCC
rnacentral:rRNA from 1 species